rnacentral:rRNA from 1 species
AGCGUUAUCCGGAAUUAUUGGGCGUAAAGCGCCUGUAGGUUGUUUAAUAAGUCUGUUGUUAAAGACUAGGGCUUAACCCUGGAAAAGCAAUAGAAACUACUAGACUAGAGUAUGGCAGGGGUAGAGGGAAUUUCUAGUGUAGCGGUGAAAUGCGUAGAUAUUAGAAAGAACACCAGUGGCGAAAGCGCUCUACUGGACCAUUACUGACACUCAGAGGCGAAAGCUAGGGUAGCAAAAGGGAUUAGAUACCCCUGUAGUCUUAGCUGUAAACGAUGGAUACUAGAUGUUGUGCAUAAUGUACAGUAUCGUAGCUAACGCGUUAAGUAUCCCGCCUGGGGAGUACGCUCGCAAGGGUGAAACUCAAAGGAAUUGACGGGGGCCCGCACAAGCGGUGGAGCAUGUGGUUUAGUUCGAUGCAACGCGAAGAACCUUACCAGGGCUUGACAUACUACAAGUUCUUUUGAAAAAAAGAAGUGCCUUCGGGAAUGUAGAUACAGGUGGUGCAUGGCUGUCGUCAGCUCGUGUCGUGAGAUGUUGGGUUAAGUCCCGCAACGAGCGCAACCCUUAUUUUUAGUUACUAACUUGUUAGGUUUUCUAGAAAGACUGCCGGUGAUAAACCGGAGGAAGGUGAGGAUGACGUCAAGUCAGCAUGCCCCUUAUGUCCUGGGCUACACACGUGCUACAAUGGUUAAGACAAAGAGUUGCGAACUCGCGAGAGUCAGCUAAUCUCAUAAACUUAGCCUAAGUUCAGAUUGUAGGCUGCAAC